GAUGAACGCUCGGCGGCGUGCCUCAAACAUGCAAGUCGAGCGGGGCUAUGUAAUAUCGCAAGGUAGAACAUAGCCUAGCGGCGAACGGGUGAGUAACACGUGGGUAACCUGCCUGGAAGACAGGGAUAACGAUUCGAAAGGGUCGCUAAUACCUGAUAAUAUCCUUUCAUCGCAUGGUGAUAGGAAGAAAGGGGAAACCCGCUUUCAGAUGGGCCCGCGUCCCAUCAGCUAGUUGGUAAGGUAAAGGCUUACCAAGGCGACGACGGGUAGCCGGUCUGAGAGGAUGUACGGCCACACUGGGACUGAGAUACGGCCCAGACUCCUACGGGAGGCAGCAGUUGGGAAUCUUAGGCAAUGGACGAAAGUCUGACCUAGCGACGCCGCGUGAGGGAAGAAGGCCUUCGGGUUGUAAACCUCUGUCAUGGGGGAAGAAGGAAGUGACGGUACCCCAAGAGGAAGCCCCUGCUAACUACGUG
rnacentral:rRNA from 1 species